rnacentral:rRNA from 1 species
UGCGUAGGUGGGCAGGUAAGUCAGUGGUGAAAUUCCCGAGCUUAACUUGGGAACUGCCGUUGAUACUAUCUGUCUUGAAUAUCGUGGAGGUAAGCGGAAUAUGUCAUGUAGCGGUGAAAUGCAUAGAGAUGACAUAGAACACCAAUUGCGAAGGCAGCUUGCUACACGGUAAUUGACACUGAGGCACGAAAGCGUGGGGAGCAAACA